AGAAUUUGAUCUUGGUUCAGGACGAACGCUGGCGGUGUGCUUCAUACAUGCAAGUCGAACGAGAAAUCAACUUCGGUUGGUGGAAAGUGGCGGACGGGUGAGUAAUAUGUAGAGAAUCUGCCCUAGAGAUGGGGACAACAGUCGGAAACGACUGCUAAUACCCAAUAUGAGCGUAGCUGAGAUGCUAUUCUUGAAAACUCCGGUGCUCUGGGAUGAGUCUGCAUCUGAUUAGCUAGUUGGCGGUGUAAUGGACCACCAAGGCGACGAUCAGUAGCUGGUUUGAGAGGAUGAUCAGCCACAAUGGGACUGAGACACGGUCCAUACUCCUACGGGAGGCAGCAGUAGGGAAUUUUGCGCAAUGGGCGAAAGCCUGACGCCAGCAACGCCGCGUGAUUGAUGAAGCCCUUCGGGGUGUAAAGAUCUGUCAGUGGGGACGAAACUUGACGGUACCCACAGAGGAAGCACCGGCUAACUCCGUGCCAGCCGCCGC
rnacentral:rRNA from 1 species